ACAGAAAUGAAGAUGAAUAAAAUGACUUAUCUCAAAGAAGAAUACUAAUAUCAUAACUAGAAUGUUCAGAACUCAAGUUUGAUGUAAUCCAAAAGGAAUGUAUUGAUCAACAAGGCUGCAAAGGAGCAAACUCGUCUGUUCCAGUAUGACCAGCCUAAGGUCUACUGACUCGAUACUACUACAAAAUGUCAAAUCUACAGACUACUAAAGAAGAAUUUAUUUUAUAUGUUAAGCAAUUAAUGAUGUCUGUAAUAUGUGACUGAAAAUUGUUUUCUGAACAUCAAUAAAAACGAUAUUUUACAUUA